rnacentral:lncRNA from 1 species
AUGUUUAUUUGUAUAGAAUCAAAUACUGUGAGACCAAAAAUAGUCCAAUAUAUAAGAUAUAAUAGGGUUAAAACUCUUAACCCGGCUUAAAUAUUUUGGGUGAUAGCUAGAACCAAGAGGUUAAGAGAGUUAAGCAUGUUAGGACGGAAGUAGUUCUAGGAUGGGCGACCCUCUGAAAAGUUUGGGGCAUCAUAGUUGGUAUUAGAGCCAAUUACCAGCCGGAAGUGUGAUAUGAGUUUCGGCGACAAGACUAAGAGACGAGUCUCACAUCGCCUGCUACUUGUGAGUCUGAGCCUGACGAGAAUGUCAGGGCUUAAAUGGGGGGAGAUUGUGAGACCUCAAAUAGUCCAAUAUAUAAGAUAUAAUAUGGCUAGAACUCUUUACCUAGCUUAAGUAUUUUGGAUUGUGGCUAGGCCUAAGAAGUUAAGAGAGUUAAGCGUGCUAGGACGGGAGUAGUCCUAGGAUGGGUACCCCCCUGGAAAGUUUGGGACAUCACAUUGACUCAUCCAUGA